AUCCUUUUGUGCUUCGUAAGCAUGAUGAUUGCAUUUACACUCAUUUGUAAGAUGUGCCGUCCUCAAACCUUGUUAUGAACGAUGUUGGUACAUUACCUGUCUGAUG